UACGUAGGGUGCAAGCGUUAAUCGGAUUCACUGGGCGUAAAGGGUGCGUAGGCGGUCGGGUAAGUCUGAUGUGAAAUCUCACAGCUUAACUGUGAAACUGCAUUGGAUACUAUCCGGCUAGAGGAAUGGAGGGGAGACUGGAAUACUUGGUGUAGCAGUGAAAUGCGUAGAUAUCAAGUGGAACACCAGUGGCGAAGGCGAGUCUCUGGACAUUUCCUGACGCUGAGGCACGAAAGCCAGGGGAGCAAACGGG
rnacentral:rRNA from 1 species